rnacentral:rRNA from 1 species
UACGUAGGCAGCGAGCGUUGUUCGGAGUUACUGGGCGUAAAGGGCGCGUAGGCGGCACCGCAAGUCGACUGUGAAAUCUCCGGGCUUAACUCGGAAAGGUCAGCCGAUACUGCGGGGCUAGAGUGCAGAAGGGGCAACUGGAAUUCUCGGUGUAGCGGUGAAAUGCGUAGAUAUCGAGAGGAACACCUGCGGCGAAGGCGGGUUGCUGGGCUGACACUGACGCUGAUGCGCGAAAGCUAGGGGAGCGAACGGG